AUCCAGCUGACGAGUCCCAAGUGGGACGAAACGGGCAUCAAACUGGAU
rfam:Schistosoma curassoni strain Dakar, Senegal genome assembly, scaffold: SCTD_scaffold0000009